rnacentral:rRNA from 1 species
UACGGGGGGAGCAAGCGUUGUUCGGAUUUACUGGGCGUAAAGGGCGCGUAGGCGGUCGUGACAAGUCACUUGUGAAAUCUCCGGGCUUAACUCGGAACGGCCAAGUGAAACUGUCAAGCUAGAGUGCAGAAGGGGCAAUCGGAAUUCUUGGUGUAGCGGUGAAAUGCGUAGAUAUCAAGAGGAACACCUGAGGUGAAGACGGGUUGCUGGGCUGACACGUGACGCUGAGGCGCGAAAGCCAGGGGAGCAAACGGG